AGCUUGCCUUCCACCCGACGCCCAGCUGUCGCGGCCGGAGUGGAAACUGCGUGACACGCGGAGAGCGUGGCGGCCAUUUUCGUCUGCUGGGCGCGUCAGCUGAGCGGCUUGGGGUCCGAAGACAAGCGCCGCGCAAGCGCACCCACGGCGGCCUCAGGUAACUCCCAUCUGACGGGAGAGGCGUCGCCACCGCCGGAAGUUUGGUGUUUGUGCCGCGGGGCGGCGUCGGCCGCCGCAGAAGCAGCUGAGCGUCUCCGGGUACCCGGAUGUGAGGCGACCUGCGGGCUGCAGGAGAACCCCCGGCCGCGCAGCAGGAAGGUGCUGUAUAAUGUAUUAAGAAGAGACUAUAAGGAAUGGUUUUAUCAGAUUUUCUUGAGUUAUGGUGGCUGAAACAUCAGUUCUAUCUUGUGGGAAAAGAACUAAAUGGCAGCACAAAAGGAAAUCUAUAUUAAUAGAGUACUUUACUAAGCGAAGGAGAUUAAAUAGAAGCCACAAACCAACAAACUUGGCAAGCAAGGAAAGAAACCGGUUAGCCAUAAGACAUGUUACAAAUUCAUCAAUGUCCAGUAGCUGUAGACUUCAGAAGAAAAAACUUUUCAGAAAUUUUGUCAAAGCAGACAGGUCAGUGAUAAAUAACUCCUCUAGUAAUAGGGUUAGGCCGGAAACUAAUCAUAAUUAAAACAAAUUGGAUCUGAAUGAAGUUUAUUUUCAUUAAAAAAAUAAAAACUUCUGAAAACAUUAAAUUAGAAUUUUCUCCAGAUUUUCAUUUCCCUAUCCAGCAGAAAGCAAGUAUCUUUCAACAUUCAUGCCAGCUUUUCUCAUGUCUUAGAAAUUGCCAAGAGCAAAAUUACUUGAAACAACCUGGUAUUUUUGUUGGAAAUGUACAUCAGUAUAAGUUAAAGUUGAUUUCUAAGAUCUACUCCUUAGUGAUCUGUACCUACCUGGACACAGUCCUCAAAAACUCCUCAGAAAGAAAGACAUUACUCAGGAAUAAUGUCCAUUCAGGAGAAAUCAAAAGAAAAUUCCUCCAUAGUUACUAAAGAAAGUGAAGAUGAGAAUUUAGAACAAGAGGUUGAAGGUUCUCAGAACAGUUCAGCAAAGAAGUCAGGCUCCAAGGAAGCUGUAAAGUCACCGGUUAGAUUUUCCAACAAAAGUAAAACAAAUCAGUCUGAAUUUGGAAUGCGAAUGAGUACAAGGUCAGCAUCAUGUCCAGCUGAUAAAAAUGCUACUAACUCCUUUAAUAAAAAUACAGUAACUUUGAAGGGACAAUCACAAGAAUCUUCAAAAACGAAGAAAUUAUGUCAGGAAAAAUUAUCACUUGGAAUCUUGAAAGGGAAUGAACAGCUUCACCGUAGAUCACAAAGACUACAACAGUUAACAGAGUGUACAACCAGGUCUUUGCGCAGUAGAGAGAUUCAUGGUCAAAUUCAAACAGUUAAACAGAAUCUGCAAUCAGCAAGAAGAGAACAGUGUAACAGUACUCAAAGUAAAUGUAAUAAGGUUAAAGUAAAUCAAAAGCAUGUGAAAAGAAAAGUGCUUGAAAUCAAGUCUGAUUGUAAGGAGGACAGGCAUUCAGUUACCAAUGAAGUAAUAAAUUCUCCCAAAGGAAAGAAGCGCAAAGUCCAGCAUCAGACAACUUCUACUUGUAGUUCUCAGUGCAGCCAAGGCUCUGACAAAUGUCUCCAGAAGACUAGUAGAAAAGAAGAAAUAAGACCUGUGCCUGUAACUGCUGAUACUAGAAAAUUAAAAGCAGCUACUUCAGUGGUCUCUAAAAAGAAUGAACUGAGGAAAUCAGCUCAUACACAAGUGAGUACUAGCACAAAAUGCCCCCAAAUCCCACUGCCACUAGUGCCUGAACACAGUGAUGACCAGGAAUUGGAGCAAGCUGGAAAGAGCAAAAGAGGUAGCAUUCUCCAACUUUGUGAAGAAAUUGCUGGUGAAAUUGAAUCAGAUACUGUAGAGGUAAAAAAGGAAUCAUCAUGUGUGGGAAGUGUAAAGGAGGAGAAGCCUGCAGAAGUAAAACUGCAAGGGACCGAUGCUGACAGACAAAUACUCCAUCAUAAAGAAACCAACCAGGAUGUGCGCUCUAAUCGGUUCUUUCCCAGUAGGAAAACAAAGCCUGUGAAAUGCGUACUAAAUGGAAUAAAUGCCUCAACUAAGAAGAACUCCAACUGGACUAAAAUUAAACUUUCAAAAUUUAACUCCGUGCAGCAACAUAAAUUGGACUCUCAAGUGUCUCCUAAGUUGAACUUAUUACAAACUGGUUUGUCAACAUCAGUUUUAGAAAUGCCUCAUCCAGUGUCCCAAAGUACAUUUUUAGAGAUGAAAGCGCAUGGUAAUAUAACUUGCCAACGGGAUAAAAUGAAAGGAAUUAAAUCUGAAGAAGUUAAAAUUAAUAAUAUUGCAAUUGAAAUUAAUAAAACCACAAAAAGGGCUCCUGGAAAUUGUAAUUUGGAUAAUCAUAUUAAACCCUCUCCUGACUCAUCAUUGGAUAAUCAGAUGAAGCAUUCUUGUGAGUCGGCACCAGAUCAGAAUCUCAGCAUAUGUUCAGCAUCUGAGGUGGAGGCUAAUCCAUUAGGAAACACUGCUGCUGUCUCAACUCUUCUCAGUCAAGCUAAGAUUGAUGAGGACAGAACAUUUCCAGGUUCAGCUCCUAAUCAGCAGCACAGUGUACUCAGUAAUGAAGCGUCUAUCAACAGAAAGAACAGGGAUGUACCACCAAAUCAUUCUCAGCUGAAGCAUGAUUCUCAUUUGGAGAUAACAAUUCCAAAGUCCUUGAAACUGAAAGACUCAGAGAAAGUGGAUGAAAAACAGCUGGUCAUAGAUGCAGGACACAAACGAUUUGGAGCAGUGUCCUGUAAUAUCUGUGGAAUGCUCUAUACAGCUUCAAACCCAGAAGACGAAACCCAGCACCUGCUUUUCCACAACCAGUUUAUAAGUGCUGUGAAGUAUGUGGUUCUGCUCAUUAAUCACCACGAGUGUGGAUCUGAAGAAGAGUUUAUUACCUCUCUUUUUUUGAGUAUGUCUAACUUCAGAUACACACAACGUAGCCUCUUCCCUAGUAGAUUCUUAGAAGGGCUGGAAAAAAGAAAGAAUUCUUGCUGAAUAUCCUGAUGGUAGAAUAAUAAUGGUUCUUCCUGAAGACCCAAAGUAUGCCCUGAAAAAGGUUGAUGAAAUUAGAGAGAUGGUUGACAAUGAUCUGGGUUUCCAACAGGCUCCAUUGAUGUGCUAUUCCAGAACUAAGACACUUCUCUUUAUUUCUAAUGACAAAAAAGUAGUUGGUUGCCUAAUUGCAGAACAUAUUCAGUGGGGCUAUCGAGUUAUAGAAGAGAAACUUCCAGUUAUCAGGUCAGAAGAAGAAAAAGUCCGAUUUGAAAGGCAAAAAGCCUGGUGCUGCUCAACAUUGCCAGAGCCUGCAAUAUGUGGGAUCAGUCGGAUAUGGGUGUUCAGCAUGAUGCGGCGGAAGAAGAUAGCUUCUCGCAUGAUUGAAUGCCUAAGGAGUAACUUUAUUUAUGGCUCAUAUUUGAGUAAAGAAGAAAUCGCUUUCUCAGAUCCCACUCCUGACGGAAAGCUGUUUGCAACACAGUACUGUGGCACUGGUCAGUUUCUGGUCUAUAAUUUUAUCAAUGGACAGAAUACCACCUGAUAGAAAUCUUACUUAUUGUGCCAGAAGACAUCUUUUGAAGAGAAAGAAUUGGUUGCUGACUUUAUCCAGGAACUAGGGCCAUUUUUUUUACAAAUGAACUCAGGACUGGCAACAACCAUAUGGUUGUUCCAUUUUCAUAAAAUUGGAAACAAUGCAGUAAUAGCUUAUUAUUGUUUUGUUUUUUUAAAGAAGAUAUUUUAUUAUCUUUUACAGAAAUUUAUGAUUGUAUUUUAUCUAUAGUUAUUUAGACAUGUUUACAUGCAGCAGAUAAUUGUUCAUAGUGGACUGAAGAUUAAUGCAAGGACUAUGGUCUCAUUGAUAAGUAUAUUUUGAAGUUCUUAAUAUGGAAAUAUACCAGUGUAGCUUGGUACUGUAUUUUUUUAUAUUGAUCUGCUGAUACCAGUUAUAGGUUUAAAGAUUGUAUUUUCAAAAUGAAAACCAAUGCUUUUGAGUUACUAUUCAAAGAGGGUACAGUAUUACACACUUAAGAAUUUGAAGUUACUAAAGUAUACUCUUGAGCAUACCCCACAGAAAAGGAGAGCUCCAAGUGAAAGGACUUGCAUAAUAGCAAGUGUCUCCAUUGCUUAUGUUUCUGAGACUGAUGGUGAAAAGGGAAGGUCUCUCCUGUGUGGAGCCAUAAAUGACUAGAGUCACAAAGAACUACAGAAUAGUUGUAAACUAAAUGUGGACGGCUUGGUAUCUGCGUUGUUAUUCCUCAGAAAUACUGCACUGAGUAUACGCCCUCAUUACUGGACUUCAUCUUGAUACUUGUCUGUCCUUCACAGUGCCCUCUACUUUUAAAGGGUUAUAUGUCGAAAAACUGCUGUGGCCUUUUAUGACCUGUAUAUAAUGUAGAAUAAAAUAAUAAAAUACUUGAUAGCUUUUUCUAAGUGAUAAAUGUACCUGAUACAAUGUUAUAUUGAAUGUUUGUACCCUUUCAGGGAGUUUCUUAGAUUUGGGACUGAAAUAAGAUUAAAAUACAGGCUUCUUAACGGUA